GCCGGGAUGGCGGAAUUGGCAGACGCGCAGGACUAAGGAUCCUGUGGGGCAACCCGUGGGGGUUCAAGUCCCCCUCCCGGCACCA
rnacentral:tRNA from 1 species